GUAACGAUACUUUCAGGCUCCCGCUCUUCCUCGAGCCUCCUCGGCGAUCUCCGCCGCCCCUUUCGCCGGCCUACUUCGGCGGCGCUUAAGCUUGCACGCCUCACUCAGAUUAUCGGGGUCACUCUAUUUUUCUGAGCCUCGUCUCUCUCUAGCCGCCACCGGCUGCAGAUCUGGCCACGCCGCUCCGACACUUCCGUUUCUCCCUUGGGACGUGAAGAGGCAAAUUUUGUGCUGCAAAAAAGGAUUCCUGAAGUCAUUGCAUCACCUAUCACUGGUGGUCAUACCAAGUGCCUUGAGUGGACUAGGGACAGCACUAGGGAGAACUUAGAAGUGAUGGGAACCAGAUUAUGAGACGGUACACAAGCAAACAACAAAUGAUUAAACCAACUCAGCCAUGAUCACUUGUCUGAAUGGAUUUAAUGAAUCACUUUCAUGCAUUCUCUGAUGUGGAUUUAACAGCAAAUAGAAAGGUAUAUGGAUCAAAUCCUCACUAAGCCAUUUGGCAGUAACAUCAUCUAUCACACUAUGGCAUAAGGGAUGAAGCCGUGAAGAGAAAUGCUGUCUCUUCCAUCCAUUUGAUGUUUCCUAUUUACCUUUCCAGAAACUGGCUUGCGGUCUCUUACUAUAAUAUUUUGAGAACUACCAGUUAAAUCACUUUGUAACACAGAAUUCAGAAAGCUGAAACAUUUGAUCUACAAGUGUAGCAAAUAAAUAAAUCAUACAAAUUGAAUUCAGUAGUAAUUAAGAAAAAAGAAAUAGUAACAUUUUGGUAGAGCAUAGUCCAUAACUACUAAACAUGUGAUUGAAGACCUCACAUGCAGUACACAAAAAUACAUAGCAGGUAUAUAUGAUUCAGCGUCUAACUACAUUACUUAAUGCUUAGAAAAGUAAUUCAACAACAAACUAAGAUCUAAAGUUCUGAACUAUGUUUAUUGAAGGAAAAAAGGAAACCUCAAAUGAAGAAUAUUAGUUCAGUCA